UAUCAGAAGUGCGAAUGCUGACAUAAGUAACGAUAAAGCGGGUGAAAAGCCCGCUCGCCGGAAGACCAAGGGUUCCUGUCCAACGUUAAUCGGGGCAGGGUGAGUCGACCCCUAAGGCGAGGCCGAAAGGCGUAGUCGAUGGGAAACAGGUUAAUAUUCCUGUACUUGGUGUUACUGCGAAGGGGGGACGGAGAAGGCUAUGUUGGCCGGGCGACGGUUGUCCCGGUUUAAGCGUGUAGGCUGGUUUUCCAGGCAAAUCCGGAAAAUCAAGGCUGAGGCGUGAUGACGAGGCACUACGGUGCUGAAGCAACAAAUGCCCUGCUUCCAGGAAAAGCCUCUAAGCAUCAGGUAACAUCAAAUCGUACCCCAAACCGACACAGGUGGUCAGGUAGAGAAUACCAAGGCGCUUGAGAGAACUCGGGUGAAGGAACUAGGCAAAAUGGUGCCGUAACUUCGGGAGAAGG
rnacentral:rRNA from 1 species